rnacentral:rRNA from 1 species
UACGUAGGGUGCAAGCGUUGUCCGGAAUUAUUGGGCGUAAAGAGCUCGUAGGCGGUUUGUCGCGUCUGCUGUGAAAACUCGGGGCUCAACUCCGAGCUUGCAGUGGGUACGGGCAGACUAGAGUGCGGUAGGGGAGACUGGAAUUCCUGGUGUAGCGGUGGAACGCGCAGAUAUCAGGAGGAACACCGGUGGCGAAGGCGGGUCUCUGGGCCGUAACUGACGCUGAGGAGCGAAAGCAUGGGGAGCGAACAGG